AACGAACGCUGGCGGCAUGCCUAACACAUGCAAGUCGAACGAGACCUUCGGGUCUAGUGGCGCACGGGUGCGUAACGCGUGGGAACCUGCCCUUAGGUUCGGAAUAACUCCCCGAAAGGGGUGCUAAUACCGGAUAAUGUCUUCGGACCAAAGAUUUAUCGCCUUUGGAUGGGCCCGCGUUGGAUUAGCUAGUUGGUAGGGUAAAAGCCUACCAAGGCGACGAUCCAUAGCUGGUCUGAGAGGAUGAUCAGCCACACUGGGACUGAGACACGGCCCAGACUCCUACGGGAGGCAGCAGUGGGGAAUAUUGGACAAUGGGCGAAAGCCUGAGCCAGCAAUGCCGCGUGAGUGAUGAAGGCCUUAGGGUUGUAAAGCUCUUUUACCCGGGAUGAUAAUGACAGUACCGAGAAUAAGCUCCGGCUAACUCCGUG
rnacentral:rRNA from 1 species